GUCUGAUUUCUUCAACCAUUUGAAAGCUACAGCUGAUAGUCUAUCUGCACUGGCUUGGAUUGCAUUCACAGAAAAAGACUGUGGUAUGAGCAUGCCCAUUGCCCAUGUUCAAGAAAGUUGGCAAAUGGCUGAAUUUUACAACAACAAAGUUCUUGUAGAGUACAGAAACAAAGAUCCAAAUCAUGUUGAGUGGGCCAAAGUUAUAAAGGAACUCUAUUUGUCAGGUUUAAGGGACUAU